UCUUAUGACCGCACAACUGAUCUUGCCACUUGCGUUUGUCGAACAACAGAUGGCGCUUGUGAAUGGAGAAGGGGAUUUUUCAAAUUUUCCUUUUGUAUAAUUGUGGGGAUAUUUGCAUUUAUUUUGGGAAAUUUUAUUUUUGAAUUUUCACUACACUGGCGCUCUGGCGCGCUCUCACACUUUCUGCACUCGUCAACGCGCACUUAAUUUUAUUUUCAAACGCACCCACACAACAACACUUUUUUGGACACUUUUCGCCGUAUUUUUUUUCGCACACCUAUUUUGUUGAUGCGCCGCUCAGCAAAGUUGAUUAAGAAGAAUUUUGACGGCGGUUUAACGUUUGGACACUUUCACUGAUAAGCGACAGAAUAACUAACUUUUAUAUGCGCUCUUCAUGAUAACAAGAGAAACAGCUGGCAACGCGCUCGAAGCAGCAACACAAACACACACAACCGGACGACGACGGAAACACAUGUCCUUCGUUGGUAUUUUUAAAAUUUACAUAAAUAAACAAACAGAUUUUUGAAAUUUUUUUCUCUCUUUUUUUUCACAUGCCGCUCAGUGACAAUCACUGUCGUUCGCAACAACACAAACACAAUAUUAUAUAUUUUAUAUACAUAUUCAACCAUUAGUUAUCGUUGAUUUGCUGCUUUUCGUGAUCUUGACAUCCAAAACGCACUGGACACCACUCCCGCUUACACAAACGACACGGCAAAUGGUGCAACCAUAACGGUGAUGAUGACGAUCCGUCUUUCCACCCAUCCAGCUAGCCGUCCAUGCACGACGUUCAGCGGUUAUUUUUAUGAAAUUUUAUGAAAUCAUGCAGUAUUAUUGAAAGAGGCAUUGUUUCGAAUACAUUUCUCCACCGAACACUGAGCAGGGAAAAUCGCACAUCGUCGGAAAUCAAGUGAAAAAUUAUAAAUAAACCGUUUUUUCGAAUAAGCUAUUUUAAAAAAAGCUAACACACUCGCGCGCGCUCACGAUCUUCGCAUAGCGUACCGCCGCUAGUCGCGUUCGAACGCUUUGCAAUGCUACGACUGUUUGCCACAGAAAGUUGCCUGACGCCUGUGAUUGCUGGUUGGCGGAAUGACUUCUGGUGCUGACUGCUGCUGCUGGUGCUGUUGCGACCGAUCCUCAUCUGGCUGAUCCUCCUACAGCUGCGGGAGUUGUUGCUAUUAGUGCUGCAAAGUCCGUUUCUGCAUUUGUUGCUGCUGUUGCUGCUUCUUCUUCAUCAUCUUUUGAUGCUUCCUCUUCGUCUUCUAUUUAUUGCCGCUCGAUACUCAUACUUUUUGUUGCCAGCCAGCAGCCGUUUGUUGUGAUCGCUUAGUAGCAGCCAUUUCGUUUUUAAUUUUAGCGGUAACCCCAAAAUAAAUACCAACCAGCAGAUCAUGUCUAAAAUCACCUUUAUAUAGACACUUGUACUAAGUGGCCAAUAUCUUUGAAUACAAAAACAGCGAGUCUAUGCUUUUUUCUGUCUAAUUAUAACGCUUACAGUGCGGAGGAGAAAUGGCUAAUGUAUACAAAAAAUUAUGAACCACAAAGUGGAAAGUUUGUUGUACAAGAAAUACACUAUUCGCUGUAGGCUAUAUAGUGAGGGAACUGCUUUUGAAAGGAAGUGCUUGUAAGUUCAUAAAAGUAACAACUUCAUAAAAGGAGUGGUGCUCCAAGGCUCGAGAAAACGCACAGAGAUUCGAGCUCGAGAGAGACUUUUCAUCAAACAAAACCGCGAUGAUCAAAAGUAACAUAUAGAGGAUUACCUCCUAUACUUGUUUACGAUCCAAUUAUUUCUUGCACGAAAUAAUUAAGGAUGAAGACAGCUCACUAAAGAAAAAAUGUAUAUUUGAAUAUUAAUUUCAUUUAUUCAAUGGGCUUCUUUCUCGAAUUUCUUACAGAACAAAUUUCAGAUGUUCAAAGGUUCUAAGACGAAGAGCCUAUGGACUAAAGGAUCCCACUGAGAUAUUUUGCAGAUACGACACGGGUCAUCAACUGAGUACUGCCGGAUCUGUUCGAAUCUUCAAUUUACUCCGAAGUUCAGAUUAAAAAAAAUCAAAUUGAAUAUCGGACGUCUAGUGUUGGAAUAUAUAAUUUAUGAUCUUUUUGCGUCUGGCACUUG